CAAGUACAGUGUGUUGGAUUC
rnacentral:miRNA from 1 species